GGAAGGGCGCUGUUCGGCUGGGCCUCGCACAGGUGCUGCAUGGCUGUCGUCAGCUCGUGUCGUGAGAUGUUGGGUUAAGUCCCGCAACGAGCGCAACCCUCAUCCUUAGUUACCAGCGGCUAAUGCCGGGCACUUUAAGGAAACUGCCAGUGAUAAACUGGAGGAAGGUCGGGAUGAUGUCAAGUCAGCACGGCCCUUAUGGGGUGGGCUUCACACGUGCUACAAUGGCGACUACAAUAGGUUGCAACGUCGCAAGGCUGAGCUAAUCCGUAAAAGUCGUGUCAGUUCGGAUUGUCCUCUGUAACUCGAGGGCAUGAAGUCGGAAUCGCUAGUAAUCGAGGAUCA
rnacentral:rRNA from 1 species